rnacentral:rRNA from 1 species
CCUACGGGUGGCUGCAGUGGGGAAUUUUGCGCAAUGGGCGAAAGCCUGACGCAGCAACGCCGCGUGGGUGAUGAAGGUCUUCGGAUCGUAAAACCCUGUCGUUGGGGACGAAGGUGGGGGCGUUAAUAGCGUUUCUGCUUGACGGUACCCGGAGAGGAAGCCCGGCUAACUCUGUGCCAGCAGCCGCGGUAAUACAGAGGGGGCAAGCGUUGUUCGGAAUUGUUGGUCGGAGAGGGCUUAAGUGCGGUGUGUAAUCCCCGAGCUCAACUUGGGAACUGCAUCUGAGACUGGAAGGCUAGAGUACUGGAGAGGGUGGUGGAAUUCCUCGUGUAGCGGUGAAAUGCGUAGAGAUGAGGAGGAACACCAGUGGCGAAGGCGGCCACCUGGACAGUAACUGACGCUGAGGCGCGAAAGUGUGGGUAGCAAACAGGAUUAGAUACCCCUGUAGUC